rnacentral:lncRNA from 1 species
CUUCCCAGCCCCGCCCGCCGCCCCGCGCCGCCACCUGCGGGCCGCCCUCCAGGAUGCCCGCCGGCCACGUCCUAGUCGCCUGGAGCCGCGCCCCGCCUUCCUCGCCCGCGGCUGCCCCUGCACUUUUACCCACGCCGUGGGGCACAGAGAAGUAUCCGGGGUCAUAGAGGACAUUGGGAGGACUUGAAGAAGACUCAGACCAGAACCAAAGGUGUAAGGAAACUAAACCCUGCAAAACCUGAUUUCUCAUACUGGCAUAGACUUGACUUGAAGAGAUCAUCAAGUGUAUAGUGAAGAUUGGCUCAGGCAAGAAUCAUCCAUGAAUGCUUACUCUAGGGGGCUGUUACUGGCUGGCAGAUAUUUGUCUGGGUUGAUGUGUCUCCCCAUAGAUGGUUUAGACCUGUUAGUAGCAAAAGCGGAAAUAGUAACUAUACAAAGAGGCAGGCAGACAGCAUCUUAACCAGGUGAUCAAAAUUUACAUCACCAAUGAGAGCAGAUGGAUAUCAUGUCCACAUCAGCUAUGCAGUAUUCCUGGGGACAAUGCAUAACCUGAAUCAUGAUAGUGAAACAUCGGACAAACCCAAAAUGAGGAACAUCUAUUAAAAAGAGGAAGGGUCUGUAUUAUUCAAAAAUGUCAAGGUCAUUAAAAUCAAAAGAAAGCUUGGGAAAUGUUCCAGAUUAAAGGGUGCAAAAGAGUCAGGGCAGCUAAAUGCCAUGCCUGAUCCUAGACUGCAUCCUGUGCUAGAGGAGGGGAAAUACAUCACGGACAUUCCAGCUGACAAAAUCAGAA